GUGUAAACUUCAAUCAUGAAGGAAAGACAUCGAGUGGCAGGAUGUAGGACUCCCAGCUACUUCUACAGGACCAUGUCUGUGUAUAUGCGCCAUGUUCCCCAUCAUGACAAUAAUGGACUGGACCUCUGAAACUGCAACAGACUCCACCAGCUCCGAUUGGACCAAGAGAGCCUUCAUCCAGUAACUGAUGGAAGCAGAUGCAGAGACCCACAACUAAGCACCAGGCCGAGCUCCAGGAGUCCAGUCAAAGAGAGGGAAGAGGGAUUAUAUGAGCAAGG